rnacentral:rRNA from 1 species
UGCCAUCAGCCGCGGUAAUACGAAGGGACCUAGCGUAGUUCGGAAUUACUGGGCUUAAAGAGCUCGUAGGUGGUUAGAAAAGUUAGUGGUGAAAGCCCAAGGCUUAACCUUGGAACUGCCACUAAAACUUUUUGACUAGAGUAUGAUAGAGGUAAGCGGAAUUUCUAGUGUAGAGGUGAAAUUCGUAGAUAUUAGAAAGAACACCAAUUGCGAAGGCAGCUUUCUGGAUCAUUACUGACACUGAGGAGCGAAAGCAUGGGUAGCGAAGAGGAUUAGAUA